rnacentral:lncRNA from 1 species
CAAAAGUCUUCUGUUCUAGCCCUUGACUGAGUAGAUUCCGCUUAGAACAAGGAUGUUUUGUCCUUGUUCAAAAAAUAUAUCUUGUACAGCUUAAGACUAGACCUCUAACAGAAUCACUGAUUUAUUAAUUUCUCCUUUGGCCAAUGGAAAGAAAAGCAAAGUUUGAGGCUCUUGUCUCACCUCAAAGAAGUGCAUUUUAUAUUUCUUCAGAGCUUUCAGAUACCAAUUUCAAUACAUUCUUCUCUGACAAGCAAUUAACAUGCAGUGUUUUAAGAUUAAAGCUUAACAUUCCACAGGAGACAGUGUUUAACUCUAGAAGGCCAGCUUUCUCCCAGGGGACCUCUUACCAAUAUCUUUGCAAGGACAUAUUCAUGGUAACUAACUAGAGACCUAGAUUUUGUUCUUGUGAAUGCUACUGACCUUCAAUUUCACUAAGAAAGUAUCCUCUGAAUAGCUUUAUGUUUAGAAUUCUGUUCUCUUUUUAUACCUGCAAAAACAGUGCUCUUCUCUGAGCAGAGCCCCCUUUACAAAGGGUUAACUAGUAUGCCUUGUAGUUUUUAGGCUACAGAAAUAAUUUUAUUUGCUAGAUUUAUUCAGAAAUACAGUUUCUAAAGAUAUCUAAGACUCAGUAAGAUAAAAUAAAGACUUUUAAGGAAGGCACAUUAAAGCUACUCCUCUCUGCUUCUAUAUUUUCCUUGUCUUAGAGUAUGCGUCUGCUGGUGUGCCAUUGGUCUGAAAUAGGUCAUGUGGAGAGAGGAAACUGAAAUAUUUACCAUGGAGCUGACCAAUGAUAUACUUUUUAGAGCAUAGCCCAUCUGGAUUCUUUACACUAAGGCAAGAGGCAAGCAGAAGACAAAGAGAGAAAGCAGAGGACCUCCGGGAAAGGAAGCCCCCUUUUCAGUCGGCCUAGGCAGAAGUAGAUUUACUCUGAGGAUUCACUCCAAGGGUGAAGUUUUAAGGGUGCUUCACUUGCUCUGGUUUCAUAAAUAAAUUUUGAUCUUCUUAAAUACAUUUGGAUUAAAUUUUCAUGUUUUUUUCUAAAAGAAAUUGUACAAACCUGAGGACCCAUGAACUUAGUUUCACCCCUCCUACUGGGGAAGCCUAGCAACUCCAAAUGGCCUUUGUCACCAUCUGAUUCUUAAAUUCUAAUUUCCACAUUGUUGUGUAAAAACAAGAAGCUAUAGAUAACAGUUGAGUUGUAAAGUUAUCUGGUGUACUUUAUUAUUAGCAGUGAUUGAUGUGGAUAAUGGACAAUCUGGAAAAUCCUGAAUACUUAACAAACAAUAUUAUUUAUAUCUAUCCAUUUUACUUUACAUGCAUAGAUGGAGGCUUUUAAAGAGUGUUACUUGUGAAACAUGUUUUUAAAAUUAUUUUGUCCUAUCUUAUGUUAUUAGACCCCUGAGAACUCAAGUUUAUAGAGAUUAGCAAUAUGAUUUUUAUAAAUAUUUUUAAGUACUUACCUCCCAGACCAUUGUAAAUGGGAUGGGCCAUAAUUACAAAUUUAUCAUUAAAAUAAAAAGAAUGUUAAGAAGCAUAUAAAAAUUACACAAUCCCAAUCUAUCUUUUCACAGAUUGACUGUCAAAUGCAUUCUGAUGGGAAAAUGAAUAGUAAAAAAAGACAUAAUAUACUGACAUUGAGCAUAUUUUAUAUUGAACAAGACUGUUUAAAAUUCUUCACAUAGCAUGUUCAGGCUGCAUUUUAAUUAAAUGCCAUGCAGAAGUGCUCAGCUUUUGAACCAUGUAAUAUUCCCAGGACAAUAGUAAAUUUCCAGGGAAAAUUUGAACUGCUAAAAAGUUAUUUCUGAAAUUGUCCUCUGUUAUUUAUUAUUUCAAUGUAAUGACCUUG